rnacentral:rRNA from 1 species
GACGAACGCUGGCGGCGUGCUUAACACAUGCAAGUCGAACGGAAAGGCCCUGCUUUUGUGGGGUGCUCGAGUGGCGAACGGGUGAGUAACACGUGAGUAACCUGCCCUUGACUUUGGGAUAACUUCAGGAAACUGGGGCUAAUACCGGAUAGGAGCUCCUGCUGCAUGGUGGGGGUUGGAAAGUUUCGGCGGUUGGGGAUGGACUCGCGGCUUAUCAGCUUGUUGGUGGGGUAGUGGCUUACCAAGGCUUUGACGGGUAGCCGGCCUGAGAGGGUGACCGGCGACAUGGGUACUGGGGAACGGCCCGGACUCCUACGGGAGGCAGCAGUGGGGAAGGUUGCACAAUGGGCGGAAGCCUGAUGCGGCAACGCCGCGUGCGGGAGAACGGCCUUCGGGUUGUAAACCGCUUUCGCCUGUGACGAAGCGUAAGUGACGGUAAUGGGUAAAGAAGCACCGGCUAACUACGUG